AUAUAGCGUUGCUCGCGAUGGAGUAGGUAGGUAUGUACGGUCGGCAAAGUCCGCUCAGGCGCUCAGUCGGCACGGAUAGAAUGGCGGGUGUGGUACGUGACUAUGCGCGAUAGAAGGAGAAGGUCGAAAGAAAGGAUAGAGGGGCGGGAGAGCGAAGAGAUGGUUCCCCACAAGUAAAGAUCCACUGACGUGAUAUCUGAUGAUCUCCUUGGGGCUCUCUGCGAGCAAUUGAUUCCGCUCCACUUAUCCAUCGUUCAAGGCAAAGCCAUAGACUUGGAAAUGAAACAACGAGAAAGGACAUAAAGAAGAACAUAAGGAAGAAUGGGACUUUCGUGCCAUUUUCAAAAGUGGAAAGAAAGAAAGAAAGAGAAGCGUUCGCAGUGGAAGAUGGAGCGUAUGCAAAGUUGUCGCGUUGCAUCAAAUUCAAAUUGGAGACGACCUAAUGCGAUAGUUUAGCUGUACGUCGGGAAACCUGAGACUCGUUACGCGAAGCGUAUUCGUUUGGCGCGGUGCGGCGUGGCGGACGAACGAGUUUAUCUCUCGAUCAUUCCGCUCGAAAUGCCCGAGCGGGUGUGGUACCGGCCGUAUUCAUUGGGAUCGGUCAGCUAGCCGGUUGUAACGGAGCUAUAAGAUCUGCUGUUCCGUUUCGUUGCUUUGCAUUGCGUACUCUCUCUUCCAUCCGCCGUACAUCGGCGUGCACCAGCGUGCACGGACUUCACCUCGGCUGGACAAGUGUGCGAUCCUAGAAGGAUAACGCGCAUAUACGACUUGCUGGACCAUUUGUAGAGCCAUGAGAAAGACGAUGGACGCUUAUACAUAUUAAUAGUGUAUGUAUUACUCAUACCGUGAACCAUCCUCUCGCAGAUACAUCUUUUCCACAUUCCCUUUCCUUCCCUUUAUUUAUUUCGUCGAACACAUCUUUCUUUUCUCUUUACAUCGUGCUAUGAUUUCGAUAUUUUCGCGACGGGUGCCCGCCGCAAAUAUACAUAUUUCACAUGGAAUACCGAUGACGUGCCGCUUUGUGCACGUGUUUUCGGUCGUUCCAUUGGUUAUGGGAGAAAAGACGAACGGUUGGCCGAAAAUAUAAAUCGUGAAACGACAACUUUCAAUUCUGCUCUGAUAUUCUCCGUUGGUUUCUAGUUUUCUAUCUUCUUAUCGACUCUUCUUGCCUUGUGAUACAGUUGGCCCAUGUAACGAACGCCCAAAUAAUCAUCCGUGUACCAUUACUUUUAUUUGCUAUUCUUUGAUAAGUAUCGAAGUAUUAGAGCAACGAAUGGCUCGUUUCAACUUAACUUUUAAUUGUUAUUUACGAAUGGUAAAUAACAAUUAAAAGAUUCCUAAGGUAGAGGUUGAGGUAAGCUUGGGAUUUAAAUGACAUACACGCUGAUGUUCUUAAAAUGUUUUCACGCUUUUAAUGUUAUGGCGCGAAUACCGAGUACCAAAUGCGUCGUAGUACGCUUGCAAACAAUGUUAUUUUUUAAUAAACUAUAUGUGCGUAUAGAUAUUACCAUGUCAGGAAUAGAUACGGACCAGAUUCGCAGGCUGAAGAGGCACUACUCGCUAGACCUAAACGCUAGUUAUUCAUUUAGUUAUCCAAAUUAAGCAUAUGCACUUACUUAUAAUACUUAUAAAUUAUACCUAUCUAUAAUAAGUAUUAACUUAUUGUAAAUAAACAGCCAUGUCACUGCGCCACGCCAGAAAAAUUACUGAAAAUUCUCAACGCGAGAAUUGAUUGUAAUUUCAACAAAUAAAUAAAAAAAAAAAAGGAAUAGAUAAACAAAAAUUG